rnacentral:rRNA from 1 species
CCUACGGGAGGCAGCAGUGAGGAAUAUUGGACAAUGGACGCAAGUCUGAACCAGCGAUGCCGCGUGAAGGAAGACGGCCCUAUGGGUUGUAACCUGCUUUUGUACGGGGCUAAACGCAAAUCCGUGUAUCUGUCUGAAAGUAUCGUACGAAUAAGGAUGCGCUAACUCCGUCCCAGCAGCCGCGGAUAUACGGAGGAUUCGAGCGUUAUACGGAUUUAUUGGGUGUAAAGGGUGCGUAGGCGGGCGGUUAAGUUAGAGGUGAAAUCCCGAGGCUCAACUGCGGAAUUGCCUGGGAGACUGUUCGUCUAGAGAGUAGUGGCGGGAGGCGGAAUGGAUGGUGUAGCGGUGGAAUGCUUAGAGAUCAGACAGAACACCGAUGGCGAAGGCAGCUUACCAAGCUGCUUCUGACGUUGAGGCACGAAAGCGUGGGGAGCAAACAGGAUUAGAUACCCUAGUAGUC